rnacentral:rRNA from 1 species
GGCUCAGGAUGAACGCUGGCGGCGUGCUUAACACAUGCAAGUCGAACGAAGCACUUUAUUACAAUUUCUUCGGAAUGACGAUUUAGUGACUGAGUGGCAGACGGGUGAGUAACGCGUGGGUAACCUGCCUUAUACAGGGGGAUAACAGUUAGAAAUGACUGCUAAUACCGCAUAAGCGCACAGGAUUGCAUGAUCUGGUGUGAAAAACUCCGGUGGUAUAAGAUGGACCCGCGUCUGAUUAGCUGGUUGGUGAGGUAACGGCCCACCAAGGCGACGAUCAGUAGCCGACCUGAGAGGGUGACCGGCCACAUUGGGACUGAGACACGGCCCAGACUCCUACGGGAGGCAGCAGUGGGGAAUAUUGCACAAUGGGGGAAACCCUGAUGCAGCGACGCCGCGUGGAGGAAGAAGGUCUUCGGAUUGUAAACUCCUGUUGUUGAGGAAGAUAAUGACGGUACUCAACAAGGAAGUGACGGCUAACUACGUG